rnacentral:rRNA from 1 species
GAGUUUGAUCGUGGCUCAGAUUGAACGCUGGCGGCAGGCCUAACACAUGCAAGUCGAGCGGUAGAGAGAAGCUUGCUUCUCUUGAGAGCGGCGGACGGGUGAGUAAUGCCUAGGAAUCUGCCUGGUAGUGGGGGAUAACGCUCGGAAACGGACGCUAAUACCGCAUACGUCCUACGGGAGAAAGCAGGGGACCUUCGGGCCUUGCGCUGUCAGAUGAGCCUAGGUCGGAUUAGCUAGUUGGUGAGGUAAAUGGCUCACCAAGGCGGCGAUCCGUAACUGGUCUGAGAGGAUGAUCAGUCACACUGGAACUGAGACACGGUCCAGACUCCUACGGGAGGCAGCAGUGGGGAAUAUUGGACAAUGGGCGAAAGCCUGAUCCAGCCAUGCCGCGUGUGUGAAGAAGGUCUUCGGAUUGUAAAGCACUUUAAGUUGGGAGGAAGGGCAGUAAAUUAAUAACUUUGUCUGUUUUGACGUUUACCGACAGAAUAAGCACCGGCUAACUCUGUGCCAGCACG